rnacentral:tRNA from 1 species
GCCAGAGUGGCGGAAUUGGCAGACGCGCUGGACUCAAAAUCCAGUUCCCUUAACGGGAGUGUGGGUUCAAGUCCCUCCUCUGGUA